rnacentral:rRNA from 1 species
UAGGGAAUCUUCGGCAAUGGACGGAAGUCUGACCGAGCAACGCCGCGUGAGUGAAGAAGGUUUUCGGAUCGUAAAGCUCUGUUGUAAGAGAAGAACGAGUGUGAGAGUGGAAAGUUCACACUGUGACGGUAUCUUACCAGAAAGGGACGGCUAACUACGUGCCAGCAGCCGCGGUAAUACGUAGGUCCCGAGCGUUGUCCGGAUUUAUUGGGCGUAAAGCGAGCGCAGGCGGUUAGAUAAGUCUGAAGUUAAAGGCUGUGGCUUAACCAUAGUAGGCUUUGGAAACUGUUUAACUUGAGUGCAAGAGGGGAGAGUGGAAUUCCAUGUGUAGCGGUGAAAUGCGUAGAUAUAUGGAGGAACACCGGUGGCGAAAGCGGCUCUCUGGCUUGUAACUGACGCUGAGGCUCGAAAGCGUGGGGAGCAAACAGGAUUAGAUACCCUGGUAGUCCACGCUGUAAACGAUGAGUGCUAGGUGUUAGACCCUUUCCGGGGUUCAGUGCCGUAGCUAACGCAUUAAGCACUCCGCCUGGGGGAGUACGACCGCAAGGUUG